rnacentral:rRNA from 1 species
AGUAGUUUGACUCCGUCGGCUACAGAACGAACGCUGGCGGCAUGCCUAACACAUGCAAGUCGAACGAGACCGUUCGGGUCUAGUCGGCGCGACGGGUGACGUAACGCGGUAGGGAACUCUCGUACCGUUAGUACGGAAUAACUCAGGGAAACUUGUGCUAAUACCGUAUGAUGUCGCAAGACCAAAGAUUUAUCGCCUAGGGAUGAGCCCGCGUUGGAUUAGCUAGUUGGUGGGGUAAAGGCCUACCAAGGCUACGAUCCAUAGCUGGUUUGAGAGGAUGAUCAGCCACACUGGGACUGAGACACGGCCCAGACUCCUACGGGAGGCAGCAGUGGGGAAUAUUGGACAAUGGGCGAAAGCCUGAUCCAGCAAUGCCGCGUGAGUGAAGAAGGCCUUCGGGUUGUAAAGCUCUUUUACCCGGGAAGAUAAUGACUGUACCGGGAGAAUAAGCCCCGGCUAACUCCGUG